rnacentral:rRNA from 1 species
GUGCCGUUGAAACUGGCGAGCUAGAGUACACAAGAGGCAGGCGGAAUGCGUGGUGUAGCGGUGAAAUGCAUAGAUAUCACGCAGAACCCCGAUUGCGAAGGCAGCCUGCUAGGGUGAAACAGACGCUGAGGCACGAAAGCGUGGGUAUCGAACAGGAUUAGAUACCCUGGUAGUCCACGCAGUAAACGAUGAAUACUAACUGUUUGCGAUACAAUGUAAGCGGUACAGCGAAAGCGUUAAGUAUUCCACCUGGGGAGUACGCCGGCAACGGUGAAACUCAAAGGAAUUGACGGGGGCCCGCACAAGCGGAGGAACAUGUGGUUUAAUUCGAUGAUACGCGAGGAACCUUACCCGGGCUUAAAUUGCAACUGACGGAACCGGAAACGGUUCUUUCUUCGGACAGUUGUGAAGGUGCUGCAUGGUUGUCGUCAGCUCGUGCCGUGAGGUGUCGGCUUAAGUGCCAUAACGAGCGCAACCCCUAUGGACAGUUACUAACGGGUGAAGCCGAGGACUCUGUCUAGACUGCCGGCGCAAGCCGCGAGGAAGGUGGGGAUGACGUCAAAUCAGCACGGCCCUUACGUCCGGGGCGACACACGUGUUACAAUGGCAGGUACAGAAGGCAGCCAGUCAGCAAUGACGCGCGAAUCCCGAAAACCUGUCUCAGUUCGGAUUGGAGUCUGCAACCCGACUCCAUGAAGCUGGAUUCGCUAGUAAUCGCGCAUCAGCCAUGGCGCGGUGAAUACGUUCCCGGGCCUUGUACACACCGCCCGUCAAGCCAUGGAAGCCGGGAGUACCUGAAGCAUGCAACCGCAAGGAGCGUACGAAGGUAAUACCGGUAACUGGGGCUAAGUCGUAACAAGGUAGCCGUACCGGAAGGUGCGGCUG